rfam:Xenopus laevis strain J chromosome 9_10S, whole genome shotgun sequence.
CCAGAGGAUUUCCUAAAAUCCACAGAAUAUGUGGAAUGAAGGGAGU